CCUACGGGAGGCAGCAGUGAGGAAUAUUGGUCAAUGGACGAGAGUCUGAACCAGCCAAGUAGCGUGAAGGAUGACUGCCCUAUGGGUUGUAAACUUCUUUUAUAUGGGAAUAAAAUGUUCCACGUGUGGGAUUUUGUAUGUACCAUAUGAUUCAGGAUCGGCUAACUCCGUGCCAGCAGCCGCGGUAAUACGGAGGAUCCGAGCGUUAUCCGGAUUUAUUGGGUUUAAAGGGAGCGUAGGUGGAUUGUUAAGUCAGUUGUGAAAGUUUGCGGCUCAACCGUAAAAUUGCAGUUGAAACUGGCAGUCUUGAGUACAGUAGAGGUGGGCGGAAUUCGUGGUGUAGCGGUGAAAUGCUUAGAUAUCACGAAGAACUCCGAUUGCGAAGGCAGUUCACUGGACUGCAACUGACACUGAGGCUCGAAAGUGUGGGUAUCAAACAGGAUUAGAUACCCCUGUAGUC
rnacentral:rRNA from 1 species